CUUUAUUACCUUUUCUUGCCUAGUCAAAGGAUUGUUUCCGGUCAAUGAAGUAGUUGGGGAGGGGCUUGCUUCUUUUUCAGUUUUACUUUUAACAUCUCGGAUUUUUGAUCUAGCAUUCCAUGUCAAUGAGAGGCAUAAAGAAUUGGAGAAAGAACCCUUGGGUAGUUUCCAUCUGCAUGAACCCCGAUUAAUGUUGCAACACAGAAACACCAGCUACACAUUAGCUGGCUAAUGAGACACCUGAUGAGAGCAUGAAACUCAACUUAAUGUGAUUUUCUUGAGGCUUCCAUCUUGGCUUUGAAAAUGUGAAGCACCAUCUCUCCAAUCAGAUGGUAAUUAAUGAAGAGACCACACAAUUGGGCAAUGUGUAGUGAAAGACCUUAACACACUCAGUCAUACAUGGGAUUUCUUCAUCCAACCUCUUCCCUGACGUCCACAUCGAUCUAUGCGAAAGAGAGAGUGAGAAGAUAGUAAAAGUCAGAAAGAGUGGACCACAUCAAGAAAACGGAAUCUUCUGAACACAAAAGGGGAUACCAGAUGUUUGUGUGAUUCAAAACAAGGCACCUCUCCAGGCAUAUGGAAUACUGAACAAUGUCCCCACUUAGGGGAGACAUUCUAACAGCAACAACAACAAAACCACUUUUGGAGAAAAGACCUGGAAAGGCAACACUGAAGGAUUUGCUCAUUGACGUGCUGAUCAGGUCUCAAUGUUAACUUGAAUUUUUUUACUUGUCAUUUUUGCACAGAGUAUAGCUUGCACAGCCCCAUGUGAAAUUUCCAUUUGUAGAAUCCUGAUCACUGUCACCUGAUGGAUGACCCUUCAUAUUCGUCAAAAGAUACUAGUCCUAAAGGACUGCUGAGUCAGGCCCUGUCUCAAGAUAUGGCUUAAAGAAGUGAUCAAUGACUACUUCUAUAAUAAAAGGAUCCUGAAGGAAUAUGGCCUGGAUUGCUUUGCAAUAUUCAUUCACUCUUAUUUACC
ensembl:lncRNA